rnacentral:rRNA from 1 species
AUGACACAAAUAACCAACCUAUUAUCCUUGACGAAACAAUGUACAAAAACUCCAGAGUUCCUCAACAACGCCUCACGAAGCAUCAUAGAGGCAAGAUUAAAGCCGGAGGACUUUUUAUUCGAUAUGACACCGACAUCACCCUCGAAGCGCCGUCGCCUUGACCCGCAAUCUACUACCCAAAGGACGAGAAAAGAUGAUCCCAUCCCCUUCACUCAGGAUGCCAGAGUGAGCGCUGUCACCUUAGAUUUUUUUUGGCAGCUAGGGUUUCUUCUUCAUGAUAGGAGGACCUACGGAAAACCAAUGAUGUGCUCCUUGAAAACGUGGCAAGUGCAGCGCCAGGAGAACAGAAUUUGUUCCCUUGUUCCAAUUUCCAUCCAAGAGGAAAAAACAAAAGAGAAGCAUCUUCAUCACGGGCUAGACAGAGUAAGUGGCUGCCCUUCCUCGCGUCGGAUAAACGCGUCAAACAAAAUCAAUGAAUAUUCCUCCUCUGAAAGCAAUAAUAAAGAAAGUGCCAACUACAUUCCAAAAGAAACGCGCUGA